CAUCUGCAGGCGCACCGUCGUCAUUUCGGAGAACACAAUAGUUGUGCUGCGAAGGUCAACCAGUCCCACUACGGGCCGAGACUUCCAAACAAAAAUAAAGCGCCAUGCGCCAUUCACGCUAGAUCAGCAUAGCGACAUGCAUAAACCAGGAUAAUCAAGGAAAGCGUCCGAGCGCAGCAACAGACUUUGCACUGCGUUAAUAUUUUGACACGGACUUUGGCUCAUUUACUCAACAUGCUGUGCGGGCUCCACUUUUCACUUGAUCUCGACACAAACCAAUUAGCCCUAGCGGCUGGAUAUUUUAAAUUGUUGUGGCAAACACCGAUGCUGAUUCUUUUCAUGCUCACUAAAUGUAUACUCAGCAACAAUGAUAUUAUUCACCAGAAACUCGUUGAAGGUUUCGGGGAACGAAAUUUAGUAAAUUUGGAGACCACCUUGACUGUUUUUGUUUGGAACUGUAUCUGGAGUAUUUUUACACUUUUCCUCAUGAUCUACGGAGUUCGCAAGCUACAGAGAUGGCUGAUGAUUCCCUGGUUCUGCUGGCUCGUUUCCAGCACAUUGGGUUCCAUCGGUUUUUAUAUCAUCUUUAUUUAUUUCGCCUACGACACCGCGCUGACCACGUCCGCAAGUGACAUUUACGCCACAUUGCUUUUUACCCUUUACCACGUCAUUCUUAUUGUAAUCGACUUGUGCUUGGCGAGGAUCGUCUACGCGAGCUUCGGGGAAAUCGGAAGGAUUACCAGCGAAACGCCGAGAAACCUUGUUAAUGCUCAACCUGAGACUGAACUUUGACAUUUCAACGAAACAUUAUACAUAAAUUAUUUUCCAAUAAAAAUUAUCUGCACAAUAAAAACAUGCAUUUUUUUAUAAUGCAAUGGUCGGAAAUCAUUUUGUCAGGAUGGGUGCAGUGAAAGUUAAAUUUUCGUAUUAAAUACACAUUCAUUGAUGCGGUAGGAAAUGACUCGUGUACGUUUAAGCAAUUAUCCAAUCUCAUCAAAUCACAGACAGAGCUCGUAUUUAAAGCUGCGUGACAUUUUUAUUGAAACCAUUUUUUGCGUGAGCACCGACAAGACUGUUUCCUAUUUUGCGAUCGAAAAUGUUUCGCCAGCAAAAAUACUUCCUUCUACUUGACUGCAACCAGGCCGCAGUGGCCAUUGCAGUGUUUGAGAUCAUCGCCCGCGUGCCAUUAGCGUUUUCACUAAAGCUGGUCAACUUAGUGAUGCAAAAUAGCCCUGCGCUAUAUGAAGAAGCAGUGAAACAUAUUCGAGACAAGACAUACCAAAAAAUUCAAUGGCUAGCGAAUUUUGGGUUUAUCUACAAUGCAAUUGCAGCAUUUCUGACUCUCAUGAUAAUUAUAGCCGUAUUUGAAGGCAAAAAUAAAAAAUGGCUCAUGAUGCCUUGGAUGCUACUGGCCAUCUUUGAAUUCGUCAAAUCUACGCAUGCAUUUGUGCAAGGAGUUGAACUUAUUUACCAAAUUUCAACAAGUACACUGGCUUUAAUUCUGUUAUCGGCGGUAUUUAUCUUUGGGAUCAUCGUCCAAUGCUACAAGAUAGUGACGGUUAUUGCCAGUUUCCGGUUGCUGGGAGCAACUAAAAAAGAUGACAUUCAGCCUCUUGUGGAGCAACGGUCAGAAAUUAUUCAAGUGUAGAAAAAGGAAAAGAAAAUUUUUGUAGCUGUAUUUAUUUACUUUUUUUAAUUGCACGCCAAAUAAAAAUAAACAAUGAAAUGAAA